ACGGAAGGCAGCAGUGAGGAAUAUUGGUCAAUGGACGGGAGUCUGAACCAGCCAAGCCGCGUGAAGGAUGAAGGUAUUAUGUAUUGUAAACUUCUUUAGCAGUGGAGUAAUAAGGGGAUCGCGAUCCCUGAUGCAAGUACACUGAGAAUAAGGAUCGGCUAACUCCGUGCCAGCAGCCGCGGUAAUACGGAGGAUCCGAGCGUUAUCCGGAUUUAUUGGGUUUAAAGGGUGCGCAGGCGGCUUUUUAAGUCAGUGGUUAAAUCGUGACGCUCAACGUCAUCACGCCAUUGAUACUGGAGAGCUGGAUUGCGGUAGAGGUUUGCGGAAUUCGUUGUGUAGCGGUGAAAUGCAUAGAUAUGACGAAGAACACCGAUUGCGUAGGCAGCAGACCAGGCCGUAAAUGACGCUCAUGCACGAAAGUGCGGGGAUCGAACAGGAUUAGAUACCCUGGUA
rnacentral:rRNA from 1 species